UCAAAAAUGAAAAGAAAUUCAAGGAAAAAUUUCUCUUCAACCUUAAUUUGAAGGCGAUCCUUUUGGCGGAAAAUAGCCGAUUCGCCGGUACAAAUAAUAUAAAAUUCGUAAAGGUCUCGUGGUUUAGCCAUUACUGGAAAAGUAAAUAAAAAAAGGAAUAAUUGAAAGAGUAUGGAGGACAGCAAGAAAAUGCAGGAAUGUUGAAUGUACGUAUAUAAAACCAGAGAUGUGAUUGAUGAUGAGAAGAAAAAUACAGGGAAGGAGCGAUCCGGGAAGCCUCGAGGCAUCCUCAGGAUUUUCAGCGAUUUCUUAGGGUUGAAGGGGCUUUUGUCAGACAGUUUGAAUACAUUGAAGUUUCCCAUUUGAUGGGGAUAUUUUGGGCAAUGGCGGAGGGUUUGAACAUAUGCACCUCUGGAUUAUGGGCCCUGCAAGAGCGCCGCUUAUCUGUAGCAUACAAUACGGUUACUUAUUUGGUAAGAUCAGCAUUGCGCCUAAUUUUACUGGGUCGAUUCAUAGUCAGGGGCCCCGCCAGAUUCUCGUGAUCUGUACUAUCUCGUAAGCCUAUAUUUAGUUGGUGAGGGGCCAAUAGUUUCAGAAUAAGUAAAACGGUGUGCAUUUCUGGUGUCGACAGCCAGGAAAAGUGGAUUUAUACCAGAGCUUGCCCUGCUCGCCAAUCAAUGUUCUAACAUUCAUUCAAGGCAUAAUAAUAUCGACACACAAAUUUUUUUUAUUGAA